AUUGAACGCUGGCGGCAGGCCUAACACAUGCAAGUCGAACGAGUGGCGGACGGGUGAGUAAUGUCUGGGAAACUGCCUGAUGGAUGGGGAUAACUACUGGAAACGGUAGCUAAUACCGCAUACCAUCGGAUGUGCCCAGAUUGGAUUAGCUAGUAGGUGGGGUAAAGGCUAACCUAGGCGACGAUCCCUAGCUGGUCUGAGAGGAUGACCAGCCACACUGGAACUGAGACACGGUCCAGACUCCUACGGGAGGCAGCAGUGGGGAAUAUUGGACAAUGGGCGCAAGCCUGACGCAGCCAUGCCGCGUGUAUGAAGAAGGCUUUCGGGUUGUAAAGUACUUUCGGCGGGGAGGCGUUACCCGCAGAAGAAGCACCGGCUAACUCCGUGCCAGCCGCCGCGGUAAUAC
rnacentral:rRNA from 1 species